UGCGGCCGUACUCACAAGGCGGGAAUGGUUAACGCGUUAUCAUCGCCACUAAUACUUAAACUAGCAACUACCAUUCAUCGUUUACAGAUAGGGAUACCAGAGUACCAAAUUCUAUUUUCGAUCCUCACCUUCGUGUCUCAGCGUCAAUCAUUAGUUGGAAAAGAGCAUUCGCUAAUUAGUAUUCCUUUGUAAAUCUGCAUAUUGUAUCCUUCCUUACAAAAUUAUCUGGACUGUGACCUCUAUUUGAUUCAAUCUUUGAGUUUUUCCCUGUUAAGAGAUUUUCAAAGCUGCCUACACACACUUUACGCCUUUUCAAGAUGACUUACGCUCGCGCUUCUGGCCUUACCGAGUCUUCUGGCACCCACGGAUCAUCAAAUUUUUCAUACAAUUUUUUAAUUUUAUCUACUUUCUACCUUUAUUCAUUCCAGAUUCUAUUGCUUUUAUUUCCUCAAAUCCUUCUUGUGUUUUA
rnacentral:rRNA from 1 species